GAUUAACGCUGGCGGCGUGCAUAACACAUGCAAGUCGAACGAUGAAACUUAAAUGAUUUCUUCGGAAUGAACUUAAGUGGAUUAGUGGCGGACGGGUGAGUAACGCGUGAGUAACCUGCCUUACACAAGGGGAUAGCCGUUGGAAACGACGAAUAAUACCCUAUGAUGUUUCUAUCUCGCAUGAGAUAUUAACCAAAGUGUUAGCGGUGUAAGAUGGACUUGCGUCUGAUUAGCUAGUUGGUGAGAAAAAAGCCCACCAAGGCAACGAUCAGUAGCCGGCUUGAGAGUGUACGGCCACAUUGGGACUGAGACACGGCCCAGACUCCUACGGGAGGCAGCAGUGGGGAAUUUUGCACAAUGGGGGAAACCCUGAUGCAGCGACGCCGCGUGAUUUAGAAGGCCUUCGGGUUGUAAAAAUCUUUUGUAUAGGAAGAAAAUGACAGUACUAUACGAAUAAGGUCCGGCUAAUUACGUG
rnacentral:rRNA from 1 species